UCCCGGUUGGCCCGGGCAGUCUCGCAUGAAAAAUACAACAUACGACAAGGGUUGCGCUCGUUGCGGGACUUAACCCAACAUCUCACGACACGAGCUGACGACGGCCAUGCAGCACCUGUCACUUGGUUCCCGAAGGCACUCCAACGUUUCCGCCGGAUUCCAAGGAUGUCAAACCUCGGUAAGGUUCAUCGCGUACCAUCGAAUUAAACCACAUCAUCCACCGCUUGUGCGGGUCCCCGUCAAUUCCUUUGAGUUUUAGCCUUGCGGCCGUACUUCCCAGGCGGCAAACUUAACGCGUUAGCUUCUCAGCACAGGGGGUCGAUACCCCAUACUAAUAGUUUGCAUCGUUUACGGCGUGGACUAC
rnacentral:misc_RNA from 1 species